AUUCAGCUGACAUGUCCCGAAUAGGACGAAACGUGCGUCCUGGAU
rnacentral:hammerhead_ribozyme from 1 species